GUGGCAAAAUUAAUAUAUCUACCUUCUCACGUGUGCACAUAUGAUGGUCAUAUGCCAGAAUUAUUAUAGUCUCCCUUUAGUUCCUGAAUAUCAUUAAGAAAAGAAAAUUAAUCUGCUACUCUUAGAAGAGUUCCAGGGCUAUGAAUAACUAUUCUAUGAAAAAAUAAUAUCACAGUGAAUUUAAUUCAUUUCCCUAAAACAUCCAAGUAUAUAGCUUAGAUGAGUGCUGCUCCCCUUCACCCUAAAGAAAGGGAGAAAAAUCUUUCCUCCAAAAGAAGAAUCUUGAGUUCUUACUCUAACUUAGAGUGUAAAUAAGUAUAUCCAUAGGAAAGGUAAAUCCCAGGACUCAUACCUCUCCUUGAAAUUUAAAAUAUAGCUCUGAAGAGGUGAAUCUACAUGGAGUUAAAAAGAGAGAGUAUUCUCUCCAGACAAAGGCUUUCAAGCAACCACAGGAGAAAAUGCCCUGUGUAGGGAUAAUGAAUAUUAAUCUAAAAUAAUUUUUUCUAAUAUAUGGUUUAAUUCCA
rnacentral:lncRNA from 1 species